rnacentral:lncRNA from 1 species
GCCACGAAGUUCAUGUCUGGAAAUACGGAACGGCAAGCUCGUUGGAGAAUAUUCUGAAUUAUUGUUUCUUUAAAACAAAAAUCUGCUCCCCAUUGGCCAGGCAAGGAGACUCAGGAACCUCUAUUAUUAUUAUUAUUGUUCCUGUAAACAACAGAACAUAUAUGCUUAGUUGACUUCAUGUAGUUUUGUGAUUAAAUAUUAAAUAUUUGUCAAACAUACGAGCUACAUAAAGCUUGGGGAAUUCCUUGGUAUUUUCAAUCCCCUCGGUCCAUUUUUUCCCAUCCAUAACUUUUCUUUCCUUUCAUCAUCUCAACAGAACCGAAAGAAGAAACCUAAUCAAAAAACACUUCUCAUCAGCCAAAAAAAAAAAAAAAAAAAAAGACAUGAUGGGCGAAAAUAUCAAAUUAGAAUUUAGUUCUCAAUUACGUUAAUGAGAAAAAGACGAAGGACUAACAAAUAAGUUUAUUUAAAAAAAAAAAACUGGAAAAUGUUUAGAUUUUGACGGCUCCACCUCUAAAAAUUCUACACGUGGCACUAAUACGGAAGAAAAAUCAAAAGGAUGACUUUCCUAUUCAAAAUUCAAAGCCCAGAGAAAAUUUAAAAGGGUGGAACUUUUGUUUCUCCUGGGACGAUCUCGUCGUCUUUGAUCGUCUCGAGGGAUUGGGUUCGAUCGUCUCAAAUUUCUCUGAGGACUUUUAAAAGGUUCUGAUGAUCGAUUGCUCUUGUCACUUUGUUAUUUUCGAUUGUCCGUUGAUUUGAUUGGUUAGAGAUUAUAGGUUUAGGGUUUAUGGUUGGUUUCUAAAAAGUUAUCUCCUUUUUGAAAUGUUGUGUUCAAAGGUUUUGUUUCUUCUAUAGAAAAACUGUAUAUGAUUGGAUGGAGCUGAGCUGAUGACUUUUAGUUUUAGAUAAUUUUAUUUAUUUAUAAGAUUGAUUACAACGAAUAGUAGGGCCUAUGUGUUUGUGUCAUAAUCAAACAUAGUUUGCUAAAGAAUAGUGAGUAUUGAGAGUUUAUGAAGCCUUUUUUUUUGUUUAUUGAUCUAAACAGGUUUAAAGUGAUUUGUUUCAAAGCGAUGCCUUCUCUCAUCUCACAGCAAUGGCAGGAGAGAACUAGUGGAUUCUUUUCUUCCUCAGGUUUAGAUAGUUUAUACACUAACUAACGUCUUUACUCUCUGUGUGAGUAUGUGUUUGUGGUUGAAGGAAGGCUUACUAUUGUUUUAUGCUGUGGAAUAGGAACGAAGCUUAGGGAAGCUAGGCAAUCAGCUGGUGCUUUUGUCGGGGAAGUGGCUAAGGAUGCGAAAGUGAACGUUACCGAUGUUGCUGAAAGAGUUGGGUCGUUGUUCAAAAGCAGGUGGGCGAUUCUUCAGCAGCCUGCAACUAGACACGCUGUGCAAGAACACCUCAUAACAGCUGCUGCCACAACUGGGACUUUGGUCAGGAAAGGUAUCACUGAGACUAAAGAAAAGGUUUCCGUUGGAAAGAUCAAAGUGGAAGAGGUAAUUUAUUCAAAUAAAAUAACUUCUCCAACUUUCAUUUUCCAACGUGUGAGAGAGCUAAUGUUCUUUUGAUGUUCGUUUUUCUUUUAAGGCGGCAAAAAAGACUGCACAAAAGAGCAAGACUCUUUUGACGGAUAUCGAAAGAUGGCAGAAGGUAUGUGAGACUUGCAUCUGAUCCUAGCUGUUGAUUUGAGUUUUGUCUCUAAUGUUUGAUUCUUUGUAAACCUGCAGGGAGUUGCCAGCUCAGAUGGUAAGAUAGUCGCGGUUUAUGCAUUUAUAGACGUUGGUUAAUCAUUCUAAGUUUAUGCUUUGCUUGUAUUUUGUGCUCAGUGUUUGGUGUUGCGAUUGAGGUCACUGUCCAGCGGCAGGAGUCGACCAGGCCUAUUCCAAUAAUAUUGAUCAAGUGCGCAGACUAUCUCAUAUUAACAGGUAAGAAUAUUCCAACCAAAUUGUGGCUGUACUGCUUAUAUAGCUCAUACGAUGUUUCUUCUCCUCAGGACUUAACUCACCGAACUUGUUCAAAACCGAAGGAGACAAAAAGCUGAUCCAGCAAUUGGUUUCUGCUUACAAUCAAGGUAAACCAACGUUGUAACAAGUUUUCUUCUCUGACUCUUAUGGCUCAGGGAGGAUUCUGUGUUAAACUAGUCACUUGUUUGUCAGAUCCUAGCGCGUCAAUACCUGAAGGCGUGAAUCCAGUUGAUGUCGCUGCCCUCAUGAAAUACUAUCUCGCAAGCCUUCCAACACCACUAACAACUUUUGAGCUUUAUAAUGAAAUCAAAGAUGCAAGGUCAAGCGUUAACAGAAUGAGAAAGUCACUCCAAAAGCUUUCCAGUGUGAACUAUAAUACACUUGAGUUCGUAACUGCGUUGUUACUUCGUGUGAGCGAGAAAUCACAGCUCAACAAGGUAGGAAUGUCUUCUCUAUAAUCACUCAACGUAGUUAUAAGUUAACACUGGCUUGUAAUCUUGAUGAUUGAGAAUCGUUUUCUUGGACUUGGACAGAUGGAUUCACACAGCCUAGCUAUGGAGAUGGCUCCGGUGAUCAUGUGGCGAGAAGACAAGAGGCCUGAGUCUUAUAGGGAAUAUUGGAGACGCCCAUCAAGGAGUCCUAAGAAAAGCAACGACUUUGAAACUGCUACUCCAUGGGACUUACUCUCAGGUAAACAAAAACCGCAAUAAAGAACUUAGCUUUUAUACUAUCUAUCAUAAAAAAAGCAGAGUUCCAUUGUGGUCAUAAUUAUCGUCGAUGAUUACAGAUGAAGGAGAAGGUGUAGAUGCAUCUUCAUCAAUCCCUCUAGAUGAUAUUGUUCAAGUUGAUUUUGGUGCGGUCGAGGUUGUGCAGUGCCUGAUUGAACAUCAUAACGCGAUUUUCACGGAUGCAGACGAGACUGUAUGGAGGUGAAAACAACAGCUUGCCAGUCUUUCUCUAAUGGUCCCCAGAUUCAAGUCAGUGGUUUCUCAAUUUGUGGACCAAACGAGAAGAACAUAUGCAUUGUUGAUGUGGAUGAUGAUUAACUAGUGGUUUUAGUAAAUAAGCUUUGUUUCAUAUGGUUUUUGUGUAACAUUGUUUUGAUAAGUAAGAAUUCAAUUUUCUGAUUACUUUCUUCUAUAUGAAACAUAAAGCAAUCACCUUGCUAUUAACGCAACUAGCUUAACCUUGCCGAUCAGAGAACACAGCUGAUUGUGUUUUCUUUGCCAACUCCAAACCGAUUAAACCGAACCAUAUAGUACUGGCAGUUAUCUGAGUCAUGAGCUCUUUCACCAACUCCAAACCGAUUCAAACCGAACCGUAUAUACUGGCAGUUAUUUGAGUCAUGAGCAGACCAAUGAACAUAAAGUCAAUAGAGCAAGACAGAUAACUUUUGUAGCUUCUAAAGCUCACAGGUCAUGGCGAGAAGCUAUCUUUCGAUUAUUCUCUCUACUCUCCUUCUGUUUCUGCCUCUACUGACGGUAAGUGACUUCUGAAAAUCUCAAUUCAGUUGGAACUGGGGAAUAAAAAUCGAAACUUUGAUCACUUUAUGAGUUAGGUAGGUGAACCAGUCAUGACAAAAGGGUGAUCGUACUCUAGAUUUUGCUAAUUUUGAAUGCUUUUCUUAUUUUGGAUGUACAUACUCUGAAAACCGGAUCCUUAACUAGGUUCUGUCUGAAUGGUUUUGGUUUCAGGCAGCUGAAGCGGAGUUGGGGAAACCAAAGAAGUUCCCAGUAGUGGUGAGCACUUGGCCUUUCAUAGAAGCGGUUAGAGCAGCUUGGAGAGUAGCUAAUAAUGGAAGCUCUGCAGUAGAAGCUGUUGUGGAAGGUUGUUCUGCUUGUGAGGAACUCCGCUGUGACGGUACAGGUAAAAAGCCUAUCAAAAACAUUUGUUUAUGUAACUUUACUUUUUGCAAAGUGAUAAAUUUUAUUUUGAUUAGUUGGGCCUGGAGGAAGUCCUAAUGAGAACGGUGAAACCAUGCUUGAUGCUUUAAUCAUGGACGGGGUAAUAAAUAAUUAAAUCCCUUCCAGUAAAAAUGCAUCAAAGAUCUUGAAGAAAAUGACUCUCAAGUCUGUUUGGAGAUUCUUAGGUGACUAUGGAGGUUGGAGCUGUUGCUGCAAUGCGGUAUGUCAAAGACGGUAUAAGAGCUGCGUGGCUUGUGAUGAAGCACUCUCAACACACGUUGUUAGCUGGAGAAGGAGCAUCAGCUUUUGCUAUCUCCAUGGGUCUUCCUGGACCUAUGAACCUGAGCUCCCCUGAAUCUUUAAAGAAGUGGUUGGACUGGAAAGAGAAUCGGUGUCAGCCCAAUUUUAGAAAGAACGUUGUCCCUGCGAACGGCUGUGGACCUUACAAGCCGAAACAUGGUGGUAUGGAUGUUUCUACUGAGUCUUGUGAGAUGGGAACAAUAGAGUAUAGACUUCCUCCUCUUGUUGGUCCUCACAACCAUGAUACCAUAUCGAUGGCUGUUAUUGACAAGGUAAGGAUGAGUUUCAGUCUCUUAUACAUCUUUUUUUUUUUGACAUGAAGAGAUAAACUGAGUGUAGUCCUUUUAAAUAGAUGGGGCAUAUAGCUGUUGGGACAUCCACCAACGGUGCAACAUUCAAGAUUCCCGGAAGGUAAUGCCCUGACUCUCUUAUUUCAUGCAAAGAUUUAAAAGAAAAAACCAUUUUUAAGUCUUGAUUAUGAAACACAGGGUGGGUGAUGGGCCUAUAGCGGGCUCAUCAGCCUAUGCUGAUGAUGAAGUAGGUGGGUGUGGUGCAACUGGAGAUGGAGACAUCAUGAUGCGCUUCCUUCCCUGGUAAUCAUCACCCAAUCUCUGUGAGCAAAGCUAUAGAUUUUGUUUUUUCUAGCUUAAAGCAAGCUAAUGAUCCAGACAUGCUUUUCUUGGUUGUUUGCAUUGGUCACACUGAUGAAUCAUGUCUAUUAACGUGCAUGCACUGUAUGGCAUGUUUAAGUUAAAAGUUAAAUGGUUAUUAUUAUUAUUAUUUUUUCUUGAUUGUUACUUAUGAUGGUUCUUCCUCUGGUUUACUUGGCUGUGGUUUAAGUUACCAAGUCGUGGAGAGCAUGAGACAAGGAAUGAAACCAGAGCAAGCUGCUAAGGACGCGGUCUCGAGAAUCGCUAGGAAGUUUCCUGAUUUUGUGGGAGCGGUUGUUGCUGUUGACAAGAACGGGUCUCACGCAGGAGCUUGCCAUGGCUGGACCUUUCAGUACUCAGUCCGGGACCCUAACAUGGACGAUGUUCAAGUCUUCACGGUUCUCCCAUGAAAAAAAAAAAAACAGGUAAAUUUUGUGUUACUAAGAAUCAUAUUUGAUUGAUUCAUAUCAAAUGAGUUUCUUGAAAUUUUUAGUAUUGAUAAAAAAAAAAAAAUUCCUUUGCAGCCAGGCUUUAAAAAAGAUAAAGAAACGCCACGAAGUUCAUGUCUGGAAAUACGGAACGGCAAGCUCGUUGGAGAAUAUUCUGAAUUAUUGUUUCUUUAAAACAAAAAUCUGCUCCCCAUUGGCCAGGCAAGGAGACUCAGGAACCUCUAUUAUUAUUAUUAUUGUUCCUGUAAACAACAGAACAUAUAUGCUUAGUUGACUUCAUGUAGUUUUGUGAUUAAAUAUUAAAUAUUUGUCAAACAUACGAGCUACAUAAA